rnacentral:piRNA from 1 species
UAAAACUGCACAGUAUUUAUUGGAGUCCGU